AGUAAAGUGCCUGAAAAAGGAUUAUCUUGAUAGGGUAAAUCAUGUAGGUCAAUCCUACCUUUACUA
rnacentral:tRNA from 1 species